rnacentral:lncRNA from 1 species
UCAAAAAUAAUAUUUUUUUUGAGUGUAAAGUAAUAUUAUUCUUGAGUGUAGUUAUCACUUAAAUGAUAAAAUUUGUUAUUUAAAAUAUAGUUUGAAAUUUGAGUCAUAGAAAUAUUAAAAUAAUUAUUUUUGUAACUAUACUUUUAUUGUUAAAGCAAUGAAGAAUUAGUGAUGUUAAAUAAUUGUUCCAUGCUUAUGAUAUUAGUAAGAAUCCUACUCUACCGUUAAUCUUAUUGUUUAAGUAAUAUAGAAUAACAUUCUAUUUAAACAUUGAAAGUAAG